AUUGAACGCUGGCGGCAGGCCUAACACAUGCAAGUCGAGCGGAGCGGCGGACGGGGGAGUGAUGCCUAUGAAUCUGCCUGGUCGUGGGGGAUAAAGUCCGGAAACGGGCGCUAAUACCGCAUACUAUCAGAUGAGCCUAGGCCGGAUUAGCUAGUUGGUGGGGUAAGGGCCUACCACGGCGACGAUCCGUAACUGGUCUGAGAGGAUGAUCAGUCACACGGGAACGGAGACACGGUCCAGACUCCUACGGGAGGCAGCAGUGGGGAAUAUUGGACAAUGGGCGAAAGCCUGAUCCAGCCAUGCCGCGUGUGUGAAGAAGGUCUUCGGAUUGUAAAGCACUUUAAGUUGGGAGGCGUUACCAACAGAAUAAGCACCGGCUAACUUCGUGCCAGCAGCCGCGGUAAUUC
rnacentral:rRNA from 1 species